CGAGUGGCGGACGGGUGAGUAACGCGUGGGUAACCUGCCUUACACAGGGGGAUAACACCUGGAAACAGGUGCUAGUACCGCAUAAGCGCACAGGGCCGCAUGGCCCGGUGUGAAAAACUCCGGUGGUGUAAGAUGGACCCGCGUCUGAUUAGCUUGUUGGCGGGGUAGAGGCCCACCAAGGCGACGAUCAGUAGCCGGCCUGAGAGGGUGGACGGCCACAUUGGGACUGAGACACGGCCCAAACUCCUACGGGAGGCAGCAG
rnacentral:rRNA from 1 species